rnacentral:rRNA from 1 species
AUUGAACGCUGGCGGCAUGCCUUACACAUGCAAGUCGAACGGCAGCACGGGAGCAAUCCUGGUGGCGAGUGGCGAACGGGUGAGUAAAGUAUCGGAACGUGCCCAGUCGUGGGGGAUAACGUAGCGAACGUUACGCUAAUACCGCAUACGAUCUAUGGAUGAAAGCGGGGGAUCGCAAGACCUCGCGCGAUUGGAGCGGCCGAUAUCAGAUUAGGUAGUUGGUGGGGUAAAGGCUCACCAAGCCGACGAUCUGGAGCUGGUCUGAGAGGACGACCAGCCACACUGGGACUGAGAAACGGCCCAGACUCCUACGGGAGGCAGCAGUGGGGAAUUUUGGACAAUGGGCGAAAGCCUGAUCCAGCCAUGCCGCGUGCAGGAUGAAGGCCUUCGGGUUGUAAACUGCUUUUGUACGGAACGAAAAGGUUUGGCCUAAUAAGCUGAGCUCAUGACGGUACCGUAAGAAUAAGCACCGGCUAACUACGUGCCAGCAGCCGCCGUAA